GGCCGGUGUGCACGGUGGGGGAGCCCGCGGGGCCGCCUGCAGGGAGCCGGAGGGGGCUGGCGAGGCUGCGCGACGUCAAGACCAGCCGACCUGGGAGACAGCGCGGGAGCAGGGACCCCUGAAAGCACGCGUCGCCCCGCAGGGGGCGCAGCCGGUGGCUGGCUGGUUGGUGGGAGCACCCAAAGGAUGUUACUUGAGAAAACAAGAAAGUUAUCCAAGAAAUUGGAACCGGUUGGCUCUAUGAACUGUGGAACUAACUCAGAAAAGCAAUGAAGGUCAAAUAGAGGAAAGAACACAACACAUUCUACUGAAUACGCAGUGGCUCAAGGAGAUCAGUCAGGACAGCAUAGAGCAGU